rnacentral:rRNA from 1 species
GAUGAACGCUGGCGGCGUGCCUAAUACAUGCCAGUCGAGCGAACGGACGAGAAGCUUGCUUCUCUGAUGUUAGCGGCGGACGGGUGAGUAACACGUGGAUAACCUACCUAUAGGACUGGGAUAACUUCGGGAAACCGGAGCUAAUACCGGAUGAUAUUUUGAACCGCAUGGUUCAAAAGUGAAAGACGGUCUUGCUGUCACUUAUAGAUGGAUCCGCGCUGCAUUAGCUAGUUGGUAAGGUAACGGCUUACCAAGGCAACGAUGCAUAGCCGACCUGAGAGGGUGAUCGGCCACACUGGAACUGAGACACGGUCCAGACUCCUACGGGAGGCAGCAGUAGGGAAUCUUCCGCAAUGGGCGAAAGCCUGACGGAGCAACGCCGCGUGAGUGAUGAAGGUCUUCGGAUCGUAAAACUCUGUUAUUAGGGAAGAACAUAUGUGUAAGUAACUGUGCACAUCUUGACGGUACCUAAUCAGAAAGCCACGGCUAACUACGUG